GUCCAGGAAUACAUAUGCCCAAAAUGUGAAAAAAAAAGUUUAUUCUUUGUUGGUUUAUUUAUCAUAUUGAUCUCCUAACCACCGCCACCUCUUCACCCAAAUCCUCUUUUCUUAAUGAACCCAAAAAUUGCCGGAAAACCAAUCGCCGCCGCCAAUACCAUGGCGGUGCUCUUAUGGACCUCGAUCUGGACACACCCAAUAGCAUAACCCACCGCCGCUGCCACCCCAUACCACGUCGUUGUAGACUUCAAAUUCGCCACCAUAGACUUACCCUCCAUCCCCGUGUCAGUUGGAUCUGGAAGCGCGACUAGUUCUGCGGUCAAAUUUCCUAGAUCUAUAAUCUAAUUCUCAGUUUCUUCAUGUUUCAUUUGCAAUUUUGGUUUAACCGGUUUCUUCAUGUUUCAUUUGCAAUUUUGGUUAUCUAGAGUUUCUCUUAGGGUUUGUGUGAGGGUAUUGGGUUAGUGGUUGGAUCUGAAGUAAUGGUGAAGGGUAUUGUUCAGAGUGGUGGAUGUGGAUUCGGUUGCUUAUGGUGGAUCAAGUGAUGGGUGGAUGUGGUUGAAGAUGACAGUGGUGGAUAAAGAUUUAGUUUUGUAAUAAUUAUUAUAAGUUCGGUCCAACAGAAUUUGGGUAUUGCAUAUAUGGUCCCUGCUGUUAAGGAGUUUUACAAAGUUACACGUGAGGGGUUAACAUAAAAAAGUUAACUGGGUUUAGCUGAAAGGACACCGCCCGUUAAUGAUUGCAAACAUAAAGGACAUACAGUGUAAUUUUUAAACUUAAAGGACAGCGUCUGUCGAAAGAUUAAAACAUAAAGGACGAAAAGUGCAAUUUAGCCUUUUUUAGGGGGUUGAGGGUUUAGAUUUUGGGUGGUGGUGAAGUGGAUUUAUUUUGUUGUG
rnacentral:lncRNA from 1 species